GACGAAGGGGGCUAACGGUGCUCGGAAUCACUGGGCGUAAAGCGCACGUAGGCGGCUUCUUAAGUCAGGGGUGAAAUCCUGGGGCUCAACCCCAGAACUGCCCUUGAUACUGAGGAGCUUGAGUCCGGGAGAGGUGAGUGGAACUCCGAGUGUAGAGGUGAAAUUCGUAGAUAUUCGGAAGAACACCAGUGGCGAAGGCGGCUCACUGGCCCGGUACUGACGCUGAGGUGCGAAAGCGUGGGGAGCAAACAGG
rnacentral:rRNA from 1 species